rnacentral:RNase_P_RNA from 1 species
UUUGACAAACGCUGCAUUCUUUGUAAUGUAGAGGAAAGUCCAUGCUUGCACAACCUGUGAUGGUUGUAGUGAUUGUGCAUAGGGAAAAAAUAACCUAUGGUAGUCUUUGACUAACGGCGUUUUGAGGACCUAAUGGGUAGUAGAAACAUAAAGUGCCGCAGUGACGAUGCUUUUGGUAACAAAAGAGUGAAACGUGGUAAACCCCGCAAGCAAGAAACCCAAAUUUUGGUAGGGGAGCUUUACAAAAAGGAAUCAAGAACUUUUUUAAGGACCUUUUAUAAGGUAGAUAAAUGUUUGUCGCCUAGAAAUAGGAACAGAACAUGGCUUAUAA